CACUGUUUACGCAUUUAAUUUGGUCAAUCAAGAAGAACUUGUCCAGCUGCACAUGGUGUCAUGGACUGUCCUUCAGACAUGUUUGGUCUUUGGACACUAUUUGUCUGACGGCAGCUCGUUUGUGGGAAAGAGAAACCUGGAAGGAGCAGAAAGUUGAAGAAACCUGUUUUUAUGACGGGCGGCGCUGAUGAACCUGGGCUUAAAACUUCAGAGUGCUCCAGACCCAAACAAGCUGAUCCGGGAUUUCUGGGAGGAAAAUAUUUGGUUUGUCUUCUCACUCUUAAAGGAAUCCAUUAAAAUUUACCUCCAGAGCUGCUCUGUCCUGCAUACUUUAGUUUACAAGGUAGGAAACCAAAUGAAGUCUGGCCCAGUCCAAACCCGGGAGCCACCAGGUUCUCCACAGCGUUUCCUGAAGGAGGAAUGGACUUUGGUUGGAAAGUUCCUACAGACCCAGAAGUUUCUGUGGAAACCAGAACAAAGAAGAAGAUUACCAUAAGGUUCAGGAACAUCUGAGGAAACCUGGAGGGAAUAUUAGGGUCAUGUGACUCCUGGGCUUCUGAAGAGGCAGGUUUCAGCAGAGGUCAAAGGUGAGGCAGCCGGUGAGAGGAGCAGAGUGAGAGAAACUUCAUCCAAGUUAACAUCGAGAGCCUGUCAGGAUUUAUUAGGCUGGUCUGUGCCUGGCAGCUGAUGUUACCAGUGAAGUGUGACCUACCGCGGCCACCAGGGGGCCCCCAAGAGCAAUUUAUGUUUUGUUUUUGUCCAUAAU